AGUGGGGAAUAUUGGACAAUGGGCGCAAGCCUGAUCCAGCCAUGCCGCGUGUGUGAAGAAGGCCUUCGGGUUGUAAAGCACUUUCAGCGAGGAGGAAGGGAUGUAUGUUAAUAGCAUGCAUUUUUGACGUUACUCGCAGAAGAAGCACCGGCUAACUCUGUGCCAGCAGCCGCGGUAAUACAGAGGGUGCAAGCGUUAAUCGGAAUUACUGGGCGUAAAGCGCACGUAGGCGGUUUUUUAAGUCAGAUGUGAAAGCCCCGGGCUCAACCUGGGAAUUGCAUUUGAAACUGGGGAACUAGAGUGUGUGAGAGGGGGGUAGAAUUCCAAGUGUAGCGGUGAAAUGCGUAGAGAUUUGGAGGAAUACCAGUGGCGAAGGCGGCCCCCUGGCACAACACUGACGCUCAGGUGCGAAAGCGUGGGGAGCAAACAGGAUUAGAUACCCUGGUAGUCCACGCCGUAAACGAUGUCUACUAGCUGUUCGUGUCCUUGUGAUGUGAGUAGCGCAGCUAACGCACUAAGUAGACCGCCUGGGGAGUACGGUCGCAAGAUUA
rnacentral:rRNA from 1 species